UUAUGAAUAUAAUAAUAAUGUGUGGCCAUUAUCUCAGUUAUUGUAUUUCUGGACAUAUGAAGACUCAAGUGUCCUUUGGAGUACCGAAGGGUUAAUGUUGUUGCCUAUAUAUAGGCCUAUGUAUUUCAUUUGUAAAUGUAUCAAUUCAUACGAUGAAUAAGAAAUUCCCUUCUCUCCGAUCCAUUCUCUCUUGCACUUCUUCUUUGUUAUUAUUCUUGCAUUCCAUUCUUGCUCUGUUUGUUGGUGUUGUUGCUUGCAAUUCCUUUAGUUUCAUAACACGUUAUCAGCACGACUCUAACCAAUUGAGUUUUCCAUCGAUCCUUCUCCGGUGAACACAGCAGCCACCACCGCCAUAUCCUUCCUCUCCCUCACUGUUUUCUUCCCACAUCCACAGAUGUUAAGCUCACCACCACCUUCUCCUUCUCUCACCACCGUCGAACACCAUAGCUACGAUAUAUCCGGUGGUGACCUCCUUCGGCGUGACAGCGACGCCAGGCGAGCACGGCUGGUGUUUUGGACAAGGCGUUGACCAGCAGAUCGGAGGUGGUGGUUUUCGACGGCAAUCUUGCGGGCGGUCUGUGCGUGAACGAACGGCGAGCGGCAAGGCGGUAGCAGCUCAUCUCUAGUGUCUCUUCUCCUCCGGCGGACAAACAAGCUGGAUGACGGUGAGCUUGGCGGUCAAAAACGGCGUGGUGGUUGGCGACGAGGUGCGGUUGGACUCCUCCUUCGUCGAAGAUUAAACCGGCGAAGCUGCAGCUGGAUCUCUUCCGGCGACCUCGCAGAGCUACCGACAGAUAAACACAGGCGUCUUCAACCUGGGUUUUCCUCUCCAGCGUGAACGACGAUGGGAAACCAGUGACGAACAGAACUCCGGCGAACCUUCAGCGGCGGCCUUCUCCCUUGGUCGAUGGCGGUGACUGGGCAGCGCCCUCCAUCAUCGUCUUCACUCUCUUCCUCUCUCGCCGGCAGAGAGGCGGUGAGCUUGGCCCGCGACUGGGUCUCCACCAGUCUUCGCCCUCUCCUCUUUCUCACGUUGUCGGCAAGUAGUUGCGGCGGAAGCGUGGUGGUAGAGAGAAGCUGUAGCAGAUCGGCUUGAAAUUAUGAUGAAAUGGUCGUUCACUUGGUUACUGUUGUUAAUAAUUGGAGAUGAUGUUGGCUGGUUUCAAAGGAGGAAACAAAAGAGAAUUAUAAAAAGAGAAAAAGACAAAAUAAAGAAAAGAGAGAGGAAUUUGGGGAAAGUUAAGAAGAAAAAAUGGAAAGAAACAAAGAGAAAAGGACAAAGAAAAUGGGUGGAAAGAAAGAAAAAGGAAGAUAGAAACAAUGGUUUCACGUGAUGCCAUCAACUCCACUUUCGGCUGAAAUAAUUGGAAUAGGUGGAAGGAAAAGGAGGAAAUGUGGAAUCAAUUCACAUCCAGCUAAUCUACCAUUUCCCUACUAAUAUUAUACUAUACCCUGCUACUAUUUAUUUUAAUAUUAUUAUAUAUAAUAUUUUAUGAUGGCAGCCGAAAGUGGAUUGCUAUAAUGGCAGUCACUUUGGACAAAUUACCUACUAUUGAAACUAUUGACAUGAAAUAAUUGUAUAUUAUUUUGAUGAUGGCAGGGAAUUACUAAGCGUGCGGCAGUACACUGGAAUGUUGGAAUAUAAUUUCGGAGAUUUUGACCAUACUCCGUUAAGAUCGGGUAUCAACAAGUAAUAAAAUAAAUAUUGGUGAUCUUUGUACUCAAAGAGUUUGCGAUGAUGGUACACACUGUUGGUGUUGUUUUGCUGGCGAUUGCUAUUCCUCAAAAGACCAGUGCCUUAAAGCAUGCAAGGAACGGCCUCCUAUCUCAAAUAAUCAAAUUCUAAUUUAGGGACUAUCAAAAGCGAUUGGAAUAUACUAUGGUUUUACUUUUUAGUGAGCCUUUAAUAAAAAGUUGAAUAUUUUAAAUUA